GAUGAACGCUGGCUACAGGCUUAACACAUGCAAGUCGAGCGGAAACGACGGGGAAGCUUGCUUCACUGGGCGUCGACAGGCGCACGGGUGAGUAACGCGUACCCAACCUGACUCCGACUGAGGGCUAACCCGCCGAAAGUCGGCCCAAUACCUCAUGGCAUCGUCUGCGGGUAUCCAAAGACGAUUAAAGAUUUCAUCGGUCAGAGAUGGGGAUGCGUCUGAUUAGCUUGUUGGCGGGGUAACGGCCCACCAAGGCGACGAUCAGUAGGGGUUCUGAGAGGAGGGUCCCCGACAUGGGAACUGGGACACGGGCCAAACACAUACGGGAGAGAGCAGUGAGGGAUGCUGGUGUGGGGACGAGAGCAUGAACCAGCCAAGUAGCGUGCAGAGUGGCGGCGCUGUGGAUUGUAAACUGCUUUUAGGCAAGGAUAAAGUGAGGGACGGGUCCUUCAUUGAAGGUACCGGAUGAAUAAGCACCGGCUAAUUCCGUG
rnacentral:rRNA from 1 species